UACGUAGGGUGCAAGCGUUGUCCGGAAUUAUUGGGCGUAAAGAGCUCGUAGGCGGUCCGUCACGUCGGCUGUGAAAACCUGGGGCUCAACCCCGGGCCUGCAGCCGAUACGGGCGGACUAGAAUUCGGUAGGGGAGACUGGAAUUCCUGGUGUAGCGGUGAAAUGCGCAGAUAUCAGGAGGAGCACCGGUGGCGAAGGCGGGUCUCUGGGCCGAUAUUGACGCUGAGGAGCGAAAGCGUGGGGAGCGAACAGG
rnacentral:rRNA from 1 species